rnacentral:rRNA from 1 species
UACGUAGGGUGCAAGCGUUGUCCGGAAUUACUGGGCGUAAAGGGCUCGUAGGUGGCCAACUAAGUCGGACGUGAAAUCCCUCAGCUUAACUGGGGAACUGCGUCCGAUACUGGAUGGCUUGAGUUUGGGAGAGGGAUGCGGAAUUCCAGGUGUAGCGGUGAAAUGCGUAGGUAUCUGGAGGAACACCGGUGGCGAAGGCGGCAUCCUGGACCAACACUGACACUGAGGAGCGAAAGCCAGGGGAGCAAACGGG